rnacentral:rRNA from 1 species
AUUGAACGCUGGCGGCAUGCUUUACACAUGCCAGUCGAACGGUAACAGGCCGCAAGGUGCUGACGAGUGGCGAACGGGUGAGUAAUGCAUCGGAACGUGCCCAGUCGUGGGGGAUAACUACUCGAAAGAGUAGCUAAUACCGCAUACGAUCUAUGGAUGAAAGCGGGGGACCGUAAGGCCUCGCGCGAUUGGAGCGGCCGAUGUCAGAUUAGGUAGUUGGUGGGGUAAAGGCUCACCAAGCCAACGAUCUGUAGCUGGUCUGAGAGGACGACCAGCCACACUGGGACUGAGACACGGCCCAGACUCCUACGGGAGGCAGCAGUGGGGAAUUUUGGACAAUGGGCGCGAGCCUGAUCCAGCAAUGCCGCGUGCAGGAAGAAGGCCUUCGGGUUGUAAACUGCUUUUGUACGGAACGAAACGGCUCUGGUUAAUACCCGGGGCUAAUGACGGUACCGUAAGAAUAAGCACCGGCUAACUACGUG